ACUCGUGACCUCGGGUGAUCUGCUCGCCUUGGCCCCCCAAAGUGCUGGGAUUACAGGUGUGAGCCAGUGUGCCCAGCCUGGGUUCUCUUUUGUAAGGGCACUUAACUCCAAUCUUGAGGGUUCUGCCCUCAUCAUCUAAUAACUUCCCAAAGACCCCCACCUGCUAAUAUCACCUUGGGGGUUGGGAUUUUAACAUACAAAUUUAGGGGAAACACAUUGAGACCAUAGCAAUGGCCAAUCCUUAGUGAAUCUUAAGUCCUUCCCAGAUCUAAAAUGCCAAGCUACACUUGCAUUUCCUUUUUUUAAGAUUAUGAAACUUCAAAAUAUAUGAACUACAGUCCAUAUUGAAAAAUAAAAUAGAUUGAGCCAUAUGCCAAAAAAAGACCUCAAGAAAGUUUGAGGCAAAGCACAUUAGUGAUACAGGAAAUGGUCCAAUAGAGGGGGAAGAAAAAAGCAUGCUACUAGCCCCUUUUCUUGUACCGAGAAUAAAACCAUGCAGAUCUCAAACCUCCAAGUCUACAGUAUUGAAAAGACCAAGUUCACUUCUCAGAAGUCUCCAAGUUCAGUUGACUGUGGCACUCUGAGACAGCUUCUCACUGUCACUCAGGCUGAAGUACAGUGAUACAAUCCCAGCUUACUGUAGCCUCAAAAUCCCAGGCUGAAAACAUUCUUCCACCUCAGUCUCCUGAGUAGCUGGAACUACAGGCGUGUGCCACCACGCCUAAUUUUAUUUUUGUACAGACGAGGUCUCACUGUUGCCCAGCCUCGUCUCAAACUCCUAGGCUCAAGCAAUCCUCCUGCCUUGGCCCCCCAAAGUACUGGACUUACAGGUGUGAACCACUGCACCCAGCUGACUCUUACUUGAUUUGUGUGUCAGGGAAUCUUAAUGAACAUUUCAUGACUAAAGACUAAAAUGAUGCAGCUUUAAGUAAAUUUAACAGUUAAAGACAAAUCCUUUCCCUACAUUACAUCACAUGCUGAUCUGUCCGCUGAAAGGGCAGAAGAUUCCACAGUAGCAAUAGUAGCAGUGAGCAUACAGGAGUCCCAGAUGUUUAUUUCUAGUAUUUCCCACUAAAAGGAACCUGGGCUCCUUGGACAAACAGCUGAUUCCAGGGCUUGAGGCUGGGACAGAAAGGUUACGGUAUCUUAUACAUGAAAGGAGAUGGUCAAAAUAAUAAAGGCAUGCAAAUUAUGAUUUGGAGAGAAAAAAUACGAGGCCAUUGUGUUUAGGUAGAUAAUAAAUGGCAGAGAUAGAAUACUCUUACAACAAAUGCUAUAAAUGGACAGAGGGAUAGAUUUGGAAAAUCACUAUUUUGUAACCAUCAUAGAUAAAAGACUGGUUUGGGUUUUAGUCUGGAAAGAAUUGCCAAGGGAGCUCCUGAUAAAGGAACAGGAUAUUUGCUCAUUGUUUCCCAGAGAUUGCUAGUAGUAAGUACCACAUAUAGGGCAAAACCAGGACACCUUGACGAGGCGCUCAAAAGUAACAUCAAUGAAGAGCAGAUGGAGAGUAUGCUUGAGAAGGGCGUAAACAUGAAUAAACAAUUCAAAUGCAAAAUCAGUAACAAUUUACAAGAAAAAUUGCCCUGUACUCCAAAAAACACAGAGGUCAUGAAACACAUAAAGGCUAAGGAACUGUUCCACAUUAAAGACAACUGAGAACAACUAAAUUCAAUGAUCCUGUACUCUAAGGGGGAUCUAAAACAAGCUACCAAGGAUACUGGGACAACAAAACGAAUAUGGAUGAUACAGAGUAUCAACAUUCCCUGAGUUUGGUAAUUUUACUUUAGUUAUAUGAAAUAUUCUUGUACUUGGAACAUAUGCCAAAGUACUAAGGAAGGGGUAAGGAAGCACAAAGUGUGUAACAAACUCUCAAAUAGCUCAUAGGUAUAAAUGUACAGAGAAAAUGAAAAAAAUGUGGCAAAAUAAUAAAAA
rnacentral:lncRNA from 1 species